UUGCUUGCUUCGGCAGCACAUAUACUAAAAUUGGAACGAUACAGAGAUUAGCAUGGCCCCUGCACAAGGAUGAUACACAAAUUCGUGAAGUGUUCCGUAUUUUA
ensembl:snRNA U6 U6 spliceosomal RNA